UGCCGUUGGGGACUUUAUAGUUACCGGCCGCGUGUUGAAGUGUUAUUGUUAGCCGGUGAAAUUUAUUUCUCUUUUUUCCGAUUUUAAAUUAUCUCCAACAAGGGAAUUGCUGUAGUUUUAUUAAUUUGAAUUUCGUGGUCAUUAUUUUCGAAACUUGCGUUUUAUUAUUCGCGUUUCAAUGAGCUAUUAAGUUGAAAAUUCUAUGCAUCGUGCCGGUGUGCCGCGCGGUAUUGUCACAAGUUUUGCCUCGUUUUUUUGCGCUUUUAACGGUUUUUUCUCUAUUUUUGUGCGAAAUAUAUAAAUACAAUCAAUAUUAGUAAAAAUCGUCAAAUAUUGUAUAUGAAAUUACCAUUAUGUAAAUUGUAAAACAGUAACAUAACCUCAAUUGGCGAACUAAAUUACUAAAAGAAAAAGGAGAUAAAAAGUGAUUUAUAUUCAAUUAAUAAAAAUGAGGACACAAAAAACAAAGACGAAUUGAAAUUCAAAAACACAAAUAGCAACAUCUACGAACUCCUUGAAUAUUAAAAUGCAGCAUAAAAGAUUGAUAAUCAAUUUCCUGUCUGUCGUUGCGUGAAGAAAAUGGAGAGUUUUUUUACGGAAGGAUUUUAAAAACGUUCAAUGCAUCUCAACAGUAAUAUGGU